GAUGGCUGCCGCUUGACGUCGCGAGGCCGGUACGUACACAAACAAGGUUGAGGGUGGGCUUCAUGAUGAACUUGACGUUGCGAAUAGUUAUCAGUGAUACGUACUUGCACACGUCUGUAGCUACAAGCCAGGCACUCCGUGAAUGACGUAACUGCGCAAAACUCACGGUGCAUCGAAAACCCGCUUUCAGAAUGGCGGACCGACUACGGACAGGCACACUUCAAACAACACGUGGGUGCGGUGGCACCGCACGUGCAUGUGUGUAGUACAUGUAUACUGAGCGGACGGCGGUCGCUUUAAUCCGUUUAUUUUCGCGACUUUUCAAGACAACACGUAAGAAAUUAAUCUGAGGAAUCGCUGGCACACCUACGUGAUAUGGACUGUGAUGAUUGUUCUGCAUCUGUUGGAGAGAUUAUAUAACCCAGAUUUUGCUGGAACGGUGGUAUCCAUCACAGAAAGGAGCCUCUGAGCACCUGCAGCUGCAGUGCUGGUGUUGUUUCAGACAAACUUGCAAAGCCAUGUUGGGGUUGCAAUCCGCCUCCCCGUCCUGCUGAUGGUCUUGCUGGUGGCCGUCCCGCUGGCGGUGAUGCUACAGUUCUUCAGUGGGGGUUGUUUCAUGGCGUUUGGGUGGAAGUAACAUGACUGACCUGGUUGGUGCAUCUGUGGGAGUUUCACAGAAGUAUCCCUGCUCAUCUUUGGUGACUGCCAGUUCCCGCUGCUCAUAUGUUGGCCUGAUGUAAACUGUUGGGGACCCCGUUUUGAGGUGACAAUUUUGAGGAAUGUGUUUUUGAGGUGACUAGUUGUUGCCUUUCUGAAAAACGUCAUCUUCUUCUUGUGUAUUCCACACCCAGACCGUCCCAUGUUCCAACAGUAGAUGGGAUAAAUUAGAUUUUUCCCCUUUACUAUAAUACAACAGGUCAACGUUACAUGAGGCAGCUAACACUAACAGAUUUGUAAUCCGAGGUGUGUUUUAAGUACAAGUGAAUAAACUUGAAGGGGCUCUGUAGAAUUUAUAUGUAAGUUCCAUUUCCUUUGCUUCCCUCUGAAGAGGUUAUGGGGGCAGGUACUGUAAGUAAUUAAACCCUAGUCAGAUGUAACUGUAAGACAAUGUAUGUCAUGACCCUGCAGGGGACUUUAAGUCCAGUAGUAUGGCAUUUCCAAGGCCAGGUGUACUUGGAAUGAGGAAUGACUUGUUUUACUAGAGGACCUUUAGUCCUGGUAAAUUGUACAUCAUAUGGGACACCUGUUACCAUGGUGUUGUGAUAGUCAUGUUGUAAACUUACCACAAACUGAAAGCAAUCAAAGCAAGUCUUUGGAGUGUCUGUUUUGUUAAACAAGGAAUCUGUGAGCAUGCAUAAACAAUUCCCACUUCAACCUUCCCUAUCUCCAUAUACCCCCCAGAAAGAAAACAAACAGUCUGUGCUCAACCCUAUUUGAGUAAUCCCAACCCUCACAGGCAUUUCUAACCCUCAAUGACAAUUUCUAACCCUACUUAUCAGAGUGGAGACAAAAGCCAAAUGCAUGAGGAGAUUUUAGACUGCAUGAUACAUGUAUGUGGGAAAGGGGAACACCACAAGUGCCAGAGUGCAUGCAGACAAAGCACAAGGAUGUUGAUAGUACCCUUGACAUUCAGGCCUACUUCUGACCUGUGACAAUCUGUUUUUUUGUUUUUGUAAAUGGAAUUUGGUUCAAGUAGUCUUCCUCUUGUAAUAGAGGUAUGUGGGGGUGAAAUAGCCAAAAGUAGGGUGUCUACAGGUUGCAGGCCAGUAAAUAAGCUCAAAAUUGCCUGUGCUGGCCAAAUCACAAUCUGUAGGCUGUCAAAUUCUCUGUUAUUUGAACAUUUUGUGGACCAUGAACUUGGAGAUUUGUAGGGGAAGAAAGGUGAAGGCUAGCCACAGGAAUGUCAUCUUGUGUCCAAGUGAAUUUUGGAUGAAAUCAGUGCCCUAAAGUGGUCUAUUUUAUAUUAUAGAGUGUAGGCAUCUGUUUUCAAAAUGGCUGCAGGCUUCACGACUGUUUUUUAGGGGUGAUCUUUUGUGGAUAAAAAUAUCUCAAAAAGUCACAGGAUAAGCCACAAAAAAUUGGAAGGGAAAGAAAAGAUGAAGAGAUGAGCUUCAAUUUGCCGUGUGUUUUGAACCCCCGAGAAACUUGUAUUUUUGGCAUAUUUUUAAAAAUGGGGGUAUUUAUCACUGUUGUCUAUGCCGGGACUUCAUUUACUGGUCUUUACGCAUAAGGAGUGUUUUACAUGCACGCUGAUUGUUGAAAAAAAUCAGGCUUGGGACGGCCAAGAUCUCAGCUGUGAGAUGGUAUAAAAUAACCCGGCAACUUCUGGGUUAACACUGGAAUAAAAUUGACAAAACUUGAUGACUUUGA